CAAGAACAUCCACAACAACCUGGUGAUGUGUGAAUGAUCUCGAGCGACGAAACAGCAACAAAAAGGUCAGGAUGUCGAUGCGGAUUGCCUUAAUUCAAGAACAAACCAUGUGUGCGAAAAAGCCCAAUCCAGUGCCGAAUCUGAUUCCUUACAGCGGCCAACAAGGUAGAAAAAGAAAAGUUUGAAUUUGUAUCCCGUCUUUCUCUCCUAUAAGGAGAUGCAAGGUGGCUUACAAACUCCUUUCCCUUCCUUUCCCCACAACAGACACUUUGUGAGAUAGGCUGAGAGGGUUCUAAAGAAUUGUGACUAGUUCAAGGUCACCCAGCAGUCUUUGUGCAGACAAGCGGGGAAACAAAUCCAGUUCACCAGAUGAGAGUCUGCUGCUUAUGGGGAGGAGUAGGGAAUAAAAACCAUUCUUAAUCACAACAUCAUGCUACCCCUGAAAGGCCUACCUGCAGGGCAUGGAAGCCAUAUUUUCCCACUGUCCUUGCUCUGCAGAAUUAGUAUUCAAAAUAUUACUACAGGGAAAGGCUAUGACAUUAGGCAUAAUACUAUCAAUCAACCCUGUCCUUCAUGAAUUAGUUCAGUCCCUUUUUAAAGCCAUCUGAGCUAAUGACCAUAACUACAUGGCAGUGAAUUCCACAGGUUACUGGUGCAUCAUGUGACAUCCUUUUCUCUCUCCUGAAUCACCUGCCUUUCCAUAGAUUGGUCAUGCUAGUUCCGUGAUCACCGGCCAUCUUUAUUUAGCCCAGCAUGUUCACAGUGCUUUGAAGUAAGCCAGACACCUGAUGGACCAAGCCUCUGUUUUGCAAGUUUGUGUUUCUGGGUAAUAUAUUAUAGAAUUAGAGCCUAUUAGUGUCAGGUAGCCUAUUUGGGGCUCUUGGCAUUCCACGAGCUUCCCAUGGCUCAGGAGAAAUCCCAUUUCAUUUGGCAGGACUGCGAUAUCAAAGGGCAGGUGGUAAAAUAAUCCCCAUAGUUUUCCUGGUGGGUAAAUUGGGGGAGCCCCAUUAUCAUGUGCAGAUGCUCUUGCAAUGCGCAAACAGAUCAGGUUUGUGAAGGAAUUGUAUGAGCUACAUGGGAAUAUAUUACUUGGAGAUACUAAUUCACGGAACUUUAACAGAAAGUGGAUCUUUGAAUUGGAACUACCAGAUACCUCCGUCUUUGUUCAGUGAUCCUGCCUGGAAGGGUGUUCAGAUGUUAGUAGUCUAACAGGAUCGCAAAGAGCUGCAGACAUACCAUCAGAAACUCCCCUCAGAAAGUGGUAUUUUAUAAGCAGUGAACAAAAUGUACGUCUGUUCUGCAUUCAUUUCUUUGUCGUGGUCCUUACUCUUCUCUUUCACUCCCUGUUCCAGACGGAGUCCUGGGAAUUGUGGUUUGCUGAAGGCACUGAAAAUUCUGUGUGAAAAUGUCCCUACCUGCUGAGAGACCGUUCCCAGAAUUGCCUGGGGUGCAGGAGCGACUAUUACACCGGCUUAAAUAUAAGCUGCUGAUUCAAACCAUUCUGAAGAAAAGGCAAACCAAACCUGGCUAGCUCCGAAUGUCAAAUUGUUCUUUCUCAGUCAUUUGCAAAUAAGGCACAAAAUUAGAAAUGACAGUGGUAAUCGUUCCCUCUUUCAUAUCAACAAACUGCCCUCCUUCCGUCCUUGCAGUUGAAAGUUGGCAUUCAGUCAAGUAGGGUUGAUGCUCAGAGUUGAACAGCCAAUUUUUGGCUUUCUCUUUUUAAAUCGUUCAGCAGAGCUGGUGAAAUUUGUAGCGGGGAGAUUUCUGGGCCUUUGUGAAAUGUUGGUUGUAGGGUUGCCUGCUUGAGAAGCAGCCCCUGUAGCUGUGUCUCUCACAGAUGAAAAGAUGGCCUUGGUUAUCUUCACGCUACAAAAAGGCUUCCCCGGUGAUUUUAUCAAGUCCCAGUGGUUGCUAAAGGAACAGGUUCGGGAUAGGGAGUGGUUUGGUCAGUUGGCAACCCUGACUGGGCUUUCAAACCCAGGCCUUACUGAUGAAGCUGAAUUAAAGACUUCAGCUUCCCCUCGGUCCCUGUCACAACAACAAAUCUUCCCCAGCAUUACCAGCCCAACGUUACCAAUGCAGAGCAAUGGCUGCGCCAGCAGAUAAAUCUGCCACCUUCAAAUACGAUUAUUUAAUGUCCUUUCCACUUUUAUGGCACUCUAAAUAAAACAACUCAGUCCUGAGGACAUCACUUUUGUAUGUAAGAUACCUGUUGAAUUGUAUUGUAUUAUAUACAUUUAAGAUUGUACCUUCCUCUGCCCCGACGUCACAAAACCCAAAACCAUCCGUAUGUGUUUAUGGACAUUUCAUUCCCUCGUUUCAUCCAGGCAUUCUCACAAAGGCAAAAGCUGUUUGGGAAUCAUCUGUUAUUUAGCGCAUUCCUCAGGAAUGUUUGGGGGUUCCACUUGGUUAUUCUUCGGGACCCGGUUUGCCAAGAAAUCCUCUUGAACAGACAGAGCAAAGAGGACUUCUUUGGAAUUGUGUCUUUGAAAACAUCUGCUUUGAUUAGCCUGGCGCCCGGAAAUUUAAAUAUAUUCAUUUUUAUUACAAUCAUCAGCCAAUUGAAGCAACUCUGGUUGAUUCACUGUACAGUUUUAGUUCCGUAAUUAAUUGAUCAUUAAGUUUCACAUGGGAAAAAGAAACCCACUCAUUAAAAAAAAAACAGGUCUCAUCAGCUAAGCAGGGUCAUUUUUGGUUAGUGACUGAUGGGAGGUCCACCGUGGAAACCAAGGGUUGCUAUGGGAAAAACCAUCUUUGUUCAUCUCUGUCCUUGAAAACUCUAUGGGCUCGCCUGCAACUUGAUGGCACUUUCCAUCUUCACCACUUAUGCUGUGCCACGUAUCAUCUUAGAAGUAUUCCCACCUCUCGAGAAAGAAUACCUCUUCUAAAAUUGCGGUCGCUAUUUGCAGCUUUAAUUUUUAAAAAGGCGUGUAUCUGCUGCUCGACUCAUUCAGGGGCAGCUUUUUAGUGGAUCAAAAGAUUUUUGAACCAAUUAGGUUCAGUUAAUUUACUAAAGGUUGUAGCCCUGAUAAUUAAAUUCUUCAGUUUCAAUUCUUUCAGCACAGUCUACCCAGCGCUUGUGUAUCAUGGUGUUUAUGGGAUGUGCAGGGUUCGCCACCAUGGGUCUAGACUCAAGGAGUUUCUGCUGUGGACUCUUGGGAGUAUGGAGGAACGUUGGACACUUCUGGGUGGAGAUCAGAAAAACUAAGAAGUUAUAUAAGCUGCACAGUCAUACCCAUUCCCACGUGAACUUUCUCGUGUUCCGCAUUCAGGUUUAUUUUUUUUAAAUGUACUCAAUUGUUGUUCUCUUUAAAUGUUUUAUAGCAAUCUAAAGACUCUGGUUUCAAAUUGUUCAUAGGUUCCAGUUAGAGCCGCAAUGGAAUUUUUUUUUCAGUUUUUCAUCAGACUAUCAAAAUUAGACUGAGCAUUUAGACUAGUUUUUUUUUUGUUGUUGAACAGGUUUGCAAAAUGAUAUGAAGAAUCAGCACUAUUCAUCAUGACAGUCCUGAACACAGAAAUCCCAUUUUCAGGGGGCAGUAGAAAAAACAAUGAAAAGAGAAAAGGGUUUUAGAUUAUAUACGGUAUAGAUACUUUCAGUCAGGUCCAAAACAUGGGUCCAUAGGGCAGAACUAAGAUCUGACAACAACCUGUCCAAAACUCCACUAUAUUUGCAGUCCUGAAAACGAGGAACAUCCUUCUAAAACCACUGCCUUAAGCCCGUUUACACGUUGCAGUGAAUGCACAUACAGUCUGUGUACAGUGUACACUUGAUUGUUCUUUAUGUGUGUGUUGAGUCGUUCUCAUGUUACAUGCGACACAUGUAAUUGGAGCCCCACAUUUGUCCAGGUCAUACUUGUAAAGUGAACACACAUUGGUUUUUUCUUACGAGCAGAUGUAUGCACGUCCGUGCCAGUUGUACAUGUGAAGACGGGAGUGGACUUAGAAGGCUGUAACUUUGCUUAGAUUACUCAGACCCAGACUGAUGUUAAAAUUGAUUUUUAGGCAAGCACAGUAUUGGAUGAAAUUGUUCAGACUCAUUACUCAAGUCCCUCUGGAACAUGAGUAUGUGUUUCCCCAAGAUGCACAAAUCCUAAGAACACUAAAUCUAGAGGGACUUUGUUUUUGAACAAACAUAGGAUUGCACUGUUGGAUACGUGGACAUCUGGAACCAAACUCUACAUGACCAUUGUCAAAAGAUCUGUUUUUCUGUUUACCUGCACUGGGAUACUGUUGCUGAUUAUGGUACCCAGCAUGAUUAAUAGGCACACUGAUAAUUGUUACAAGAUUCAUCCCAUAGACAUGCAUACACAUGUGGAUGAAAAACCCAUAUAAAUUGGCUGAAAGCCUUCCUAGUUUUCUCAGAAGGCCAUAUUAAAAGGUUUGAGGCUUCUUCAACUUCUCCCCCACCCCCCUUCAGUUUGAGGUUCCCAAUCGUUUCUAAGAUUUCCAUAAAUGAGUUUCAGGACUUAUUCCGCAGUCUGACAAGGUGGCACCAUAAGAGGUUCCAGGCUGCGCCAAAGCGGAUGGAAACUUUGAGCCAUAACAUCACAAAACAGCAGUGAAACAGGCAGGACAUGUGGAAGCAAUUACUUCCCAGGGAGAAAUCGGCUUCCUUAAAGGAAAACGUAUGUGAGGCCAUGUUCUCCUCAGAACUUUCCAAGCUUCUAAAUUGAGGCUUUGACGAUUUAGUACUUUUAAAAAAUAUACGCGCUUAUCUUAGGACAGCAAUAUGUCAGCCGUUUCAAUUCUUUUACUUCCCUUCUCAAAUUGUGUGAAGCAAAACACAAGGGAAAGGGUUCUUACCAAACUGGUACUCAGUCACUGUAUGUCUCUAGUUGGACAGCAAACCAGUAGGGUUUGACUAAUUGAGCGGAUUGAUGAGAGGUUGUGGUUUAAUGGAAGACUACCUGAGGUCACGGGUUCAACUCUCAGCAACUCCAGUUAAAAGAAUAUGGUAGUGGGUGAUAUCAAAAACCUCUGAGAGAGACCGUGCAGAGCCGCUGAGUAGACAGGAUUUUGAUGGGCCAAGGGUUUGAUUCAGUAAGGGGCAGUUUUAUGUGAUUUUAUUUAUUUUUUUGGCUGAGCAAUCCAACCCAAGUAACCGAAAAUAUUGUUCAUUUCCUGGGCAUUUCUGUGUGACUCAAAUGGUUUCUGUUGCUAGCAGCAUUUUCAGGAGUACCCAUGACAUCUUAUGUGAUGCAGGAGGUGUGGUGUUGGAUCCUAUGCAGCAAUAGGCAAAGGAUGCUGGGAUGCAUCUCUCUCCUCAUUCAGAGCAAUACUACCACUCUCGACCAUCGUGUUCUUUUAAGGCAAGGAAAAUAAGAAAGAGAAGGGGGAUUAUUUGGAGGGUGAGACUUCUUGGACAAAUCGCUUCGGCCAAAAAUGCCGAGAAGUUAUUUGUUGUAUAAACAGCGUCCAAGUUUGUUGACAGCUUUAAAACACAAAAAAGCGAGUGCUGGCACAACAGACCAUGAAAAGCUAUUACUCUAUCUUUGUGGGCUAUUCUGUUAAUAUUUCAACACGACAUGUUUUUUGAUCAUUGCUUAAGACUACACCACAAUAUGAAGCAAGAGUCAUGUUUGAUAAAUUAUUUGUCACUCAAAUGUGUUAUUCCCCGUGAACGUUUUAUUUCUUUGCAAAACAUGUACAAAUAAGGAAUUACGUUUUGCACAAACUGAGUUAUUCCCAAUUAUGUAAAGAAAUCAUCCAAACGAUUAAUAAACAGAAGGUCUUUAUAAAUGCCUUGUCCAAAUGA